rnacentral:lncRNA from 1 species
AAAGGCAUGAGGCUGUGCGCAGAAACAUUUCAUGCAGCAUGUUGGUUGGAGCAAAAGAGAAAAACAAAAGAAAGAGGAAAAAAACAAAACAAAAAACAACAGUCCAAAAUUCGUAAACCAAUAAAGGGUUUGCCAUCGCCUGAAAGGUUUUUUGUUUUGUUUUUGUUUUUUCCUUAAUCGCCAAACCACAAGGUGAGGCUUUGUAACACCAACCAACUAAGAACUCCAACUCGCCUCGUCCUGGUCUUCCUGUCGUACUCGCGAUUUUAAUAGCUCCUUCUUAGUGCCUGUUUUGGGGUGUGGAGUGCCGUCCUGUGCGCCCAACGCAGCCGCUUGGAUGCCAUCUGAACCGAAGGUCUCUUCGCCUUGCGGGCCUUGCCCAUAUUUUUUUUUCCUGAAUAAGAAAAGGCGAAACAAUAGAUGCCCAGAAAUACUGCUGUAAUUCACCAGAACAAACAUCCGUCAGAAUCGGGGCCAGCCUUCUCGCCAGCAGCAGACAUAAACUAUCUAAAUAAUGAAAUGCAUUAGGUAUUUGAAGGCGAACUCAGAGAAAAAGGCAGCAUCUUUUCAAGGUGACUGAGCUUUCCAUGCUUUGGGCAAGCGGGAUGAAUUCAAAGGCUCGGGCGCAGAUUAAUGAGAACAGCACUUUAAAAAGGACUGGCCGAUCAUCUUUAACAAAAUGUGUUACUUUUAAAUGAAAACACAUAUUCUGCAUGUCUACUUCAAAACAUUUAGGGUUAAAAAAAAAAAAAGAUCUGAAAGUGGGAAACAGAUUACAAAGAAAAGUCUUCGAUUCAGAAAAUACACUCAUACUCUAGGAGCAAGCGCAGAAAAGCUCUGGGAAAGUAAAUAAUGUUUUACAGAAAAAAUGACCCAGAGGAAAGGGGACACAGGGCAGCCUCUCAGGCUGGUUCUUAAUCUUAGCUCACACCUCUGAUCUCUGCAUCACAGGAAUGCUGCCUGCCCUUCAUUCCUUUAUAGCCUGGGAUUUCUCUCUCUUUUCUCACUAUCCAAGGGCUGGGACCAUCAGCUCCUUCUUAGGUACCUUCUUUCACGUUUGAAUAAAAGAACAUCACAGACCAACAUGUCAAGCUAAAACAAAAGCAUCCAUAUGAAUGUUGCUCACUCCUCCAGGAAGUUUCCUAGCUGACCCUGGUCAAAAUUCACUUUUUUUUUAAAGCCUUUUUUUUUUUUUCAACCCAGGGAACAAUAUUGCAGCCUGGCAGUUCACAUGCUGAUAUCAGACUGAAUGACGGCUGUGAAUCAUAAAACAUGUCAUUAGCUUUACACCAAGCCACCAAUAACCUUUGCGCCAUCCGCCCGACCCUUCUUUCUCGUAGGUACAAGGCUUACCUGAUUGUGUUUCCAAUUACAGAGAAGGGGGCCCCAGCUCUGCAGGCUGCAAUCGCUUCAUCUCUACACCUCCUGGCAACCUCCACUAACUUUUUACCACUUUCAUCCACAUUGCCCACCAGAAAGGUUUCAGAGGUGUCUCCAUGGUAGCCAUUGUAAUAGACCUAAACACAGGCACACAUUUUAAGGUAUGUCCUUUUCUGGAAUCCUAGUCUCCUAAAGUCUAUAUCCUGUUUAUGUUUUCAGUAAAUUUAUUACCUUCUCAGAGUUAGUUCACAUAUUAAUUAAGAACCACCAUUCUGAAAUGUAAAAGCUGAAACCAUGUGAUUCUGCAACAUCUAAGAACACGCAGAUGACCGGCUCGGUUCCCUCGGCUUUGGGAUUAGCAAUGCUAUUGUAACGUUCUGAUCCCACGGUUUAUUUCUGAGCAAGCAAAAACCACACUUGGAAAAAUUAGUUACUAAAUACAUUCACCUACAAUUACCACAGUAGGUCUAGAAAAUUAAGUAUUUAGCAUAGGAAAACAUGUCCUCGGUGUCAUGAGGAUUUGCCUGCUCUUUUAUUUACCAGCUUAGAAAUGACACACAAUGACAAGAAGGAACAAGACUGACACGUCAGCACUAUAACGUGAGCAGGAGAAUUUCAUGCUAAGAAUUGAAGUGGCUCGAUGCAGUAAGGAAACACGUUAUAAAAAUUCUCCGUCUAAGAGUGGAAUCCGAAUCAAAUGUUCCAGAAAGCAUGAUGGUAACCAGACACACUCCGCGUGGAUUUUUAAAGAAUUAGAACAUAUCAAAGCAAGCUGAGGGGUAAAGCCACAGAAAGACAAUUUUAUCCGUCUUUGAUGACGCAGAAGUGCCAUGCGCUCUUGAACCAGCUCAGGCUCAUCGUGAAAGUCCAAUGAUUAGCAACAGCAGAGAACACGUAGGAGGCAGAGGAGGCGGGAUGACUUGAUCCUUGGACAUGGCGUAGCAUUUACUAUUUUGCAUAAAUUUAUCUCAUCUAGCUAUCUUCACAGUUCUCCUCUUCCUAAGGUGGAACGCAGAGACUAUGAGAAGAUCUAUUUAUUUAGGCUCUGUCUGAAUUAAUGUCACACCCAUACACUGUCACACAAUGAAGAGCUUGCUCUCCUGGGCAGCAAGAAGACCACACCAAAAGGCUUCACAGAGAUCGCUGGCUUCUAAGUCAGGAAACGGAGACAUAGACACACAACGCCUUUAGGUUCCAGACACACAGGGUACAGAGGUAUACCCCAACCAGUCUGAUAGACUGACGGCUUCUUAACCCCCCACAGUCCAGUCACACUUGCUAACAGAUUCCCACUUAUAUUCCCUUAUAGAAAAACGUAAGCUUCUGUCAUACACAAGAAUUUAUAAUUGUAAGUUUGUUAAUGUAAGUGUAGUUAUUCAAGAAAUUUUGUAGCUGCAUGUUUUUAAGUAAAAUUCAUGAUUUAAAUCAUU